GUUUUGCUUUUAGGUUGGAGACUACAUAAGACUUUGACAGUUGGCGGGAAACCAUCAUCAACUGGAGAGAUGCCGGAAGAGGAAUGUCUGCGACUAAGUCAAGGGCCACUGGAUAAGGGUUGUUGAUGGCAAAACAGGUUGGAGACUACAUAAGACUUUGACAGUUGGCGGGAAACCAUCAUCAACUGGAGAGAUGCCGGAAGAGGAAUGUCUGCGACUAAGUCAAGGGCCACUGGAUAAGGGUUGUUGAUGGCAAAACAGGUUGGAGACUACAUAAGACUUUGACAGUUGGCGGGAAACCAUCAUCAACUGGAGAGAUGCCGGAAGAGGAAUGUCUGCGACUAAGUCAAGGGCCACUGGAUAAGGGUUGUUGAUGGCAAAACAGGUUGGAGACUACAUAAGACUUUGACAGUUGGCGGGAAACCAUCAUCAACUGGAGAGAUGCCGGAAGAGGAAUGUCUGCGACUAAGUCAAGGGCCACUGGAUAAGGGUUGUUGAUGGCAAAACAGGUUGGAGACUACAUAAGACUUUGACAGUUGGCGGGAAACCAUCAUCAACUGGAGAGAUGCCGGAAGAGGAAUGUCUGCGACUAAGUCAAGGGCCACUGGAUAAGGGUUGUUGAUGGCAAAACAGGUUGGAGACUACAUAAGACUUUGACAGUUGGCGGGAAACCAUCAUCAACUGGAGAGAUGCCGGAAGAGGAAUGUCUGCGACUAAGUCAAGGGCCACUGGAUAAGGGUUGUUGAUGGCAAAACAGGUUGGAGACUACAUAAGACUUUGACAGUUGGCGGGAAACCAUCAUCAACUGGAGAGAUGCCGCACUAUGGUGUGCGCUUAUGAUGGAGCCAGGCCGUUGUGAGGUGCAUAAACGCAGCGUGCCUUUAGGCGACGUACGAGCGACGCGAGGCCGUCAAUACAUUGAUGCCACUUGAUGCGAAAGUUAGUGGCAAUUCCAUUUCUGCCCGGAAUACAGAUUACGCUUUCAACAGGUAUGCUGACCGGGCAAUGUCAAUAGAGACAGAAGCCGUCUUUGACUAUGUUCUUUCAACCUGGCUGGACAGUACCGUAUGGAAUACUGGUCCAUGAACCGGAAAACAUUGGGAAGUAACAAAGAUGCAGAAGCCAUGUUAUAAAUUCGAUAGCGCGCGUUAGUUAAGCCCGGAAGUCGAUUAGACGUAGCGCUGCGAUGUCAUCGUCUAGAAGAAGACUGGCGAGUUGCCGGUGUCGCUUCUCCGGUGUGCCUUCUUCCUGUAUUCCCUAGUUAAGUGACAGAAAAAGUGCGCAUUCCAGUUUUCGAUAGACAGGAAUGAAUUUCUGUGUUCUUGCGUAUAGUCCAUUUUGUUUUAUUUCCUUAGCCUGGUAUAUUGUUCCUAAACCAAGAGAUACAUCUUUAUUUUGAACAAAUAUACUGUAUUAGGCCAUAUAAAACAAUCUUUUAUAACAGUCAAAUUACAUAUAAUCGUUAAGUAUAGAAUGCAUGUUUAUCUAUAUUUUAACUCAGCGAAAAUCUUCUACUUGAACAUUGGAACCUUACAUAAAUUUCAAGAUGCACAAACAAUGAUGAUCUCACCUCUCCGUGUCUGACCCCGAACCUCAGCGGCCUGCGCAGCCUCUCUGGUAGGUAUGGGCAGAAAACGUCGAAGAACGGACAUACCAGCUUAGGGUCAAGCUCCUUCGGAUCCUGAAUGCCACGGUUACACGAAUCAAACCAGUAAGGAACACAUGAAGGCAUUUAAAAUUGCUUAACAUAUUAAGGCAUUCAUAAAUGGUUUUAAGUAAGAAACCAUGCAUGUGUUUUUUAAAGUACAUGCAUUCGAAUUAAAAGUCGUCUUAUAUAAAUCACACGGGGAUUUGCACCAGGAUUUCAAACAAUCUAGUUGAUCAAUUUUUUUCUUAUAAACCGGUUGCCGCUCUUUGAUUUUAAAGCAAAUUUAUUGUGCUAAGAGUACUAAACAGAGUACCAUAUUUUUUUCAAAAUAAAACAAGCCAACGAACAGACCGCUACACCAGUCACUGUUGAAGUUUAAAAUAAACUUGCAAUAAUGUCAAUACGGGUCUCUAUAAUUAAACAUAUGGUUGUACUUGAAAACAAUGCCCCAUCGUUAUUGACGAACGUCUCGAACAAAUGACUCACCGGUGACAAUGCUGACAAGGAGGCCGAUAACGACGCACGUGAGCACGGCAAUGGCACUGUACCACAUGUAGGACACCGUGUAAAGGCGGUUGAUACCACUGCGAAUUGAAAUAUAGUUAUCAUACAUAGUCUACAGGUAUGCACCUGUUUUAUACUCAUAACAAAUAGGGAAUUAAUUAAUUAAUUGUGAUGAUUCUGUUUGUGGUUGUUGGUUCAAACUGAAAAAGACCUUUGUUCUGAACAUAAUUAUUUAAAUAUGCAAGUUGAAGCUUAGUGAUGUCACCGCACUUAAAACAAUGACUUACUCGUAUUUAUCAUAAUUCGAAGUGACGGGAUGCGCAAAGUCCGGCGUGGUGGUCGGUAGGAGAGGGAUGGGGGUCUUUUUGUUAAUAGCAGUCCAGUUGCAGCCGACAGUCUCCAACGGCGGCGUGAUCACAACGCUGGUUCUUGUGAUAGCUUGGCCAAGUCCACUCCAGAGCAGAAGAGAUAGACUGGUUGCCAGUCCUACAAAUCCACCCUGAACACGAGAACAGUUAAUAACAGGAGAAUAUUUUCAUACUCAUACAUGUUCAUUGUAUGUUAAAAAAA